rnacentral:rRNA from 1 species
GAUGAACGCUGGCGGCGUGCCUAAUACAUGCAAGUCGAGCGAACAGACGAGGAGCUUGCUCCUCUGAUGUUAGCGGCGGACGGGUGAGUAACACGUGGAUAACCUACCUAUAAGACUGGGAUAACUACGGGAAACCGGAGCUAAUACCGGAUAAUAUAUUGAACCGCAUGGUUCAAUAGUGAAAGACGGUCUUGCUGUCACUUAUAGAUGGAUCCGCGCUGCAUUAGCUAGUUGGUAAGGUAACGGCUUACCAAGGCAACGAUGCAUAGCCGACCUGAGAGGGUGAUCGGCCACACUGGAACUGAGACACGGUCCAGACUCCUACGGGAGGCAGCAGUAGGGAAUCUUCCGCAAUGGGCGAAAGCCUGACGGAGCAACGCCGCGUGAGUGAUGAAGGUCUUCGGAUCGUAAAACUCUGUUAUUAGGGAAGAACAAAUGUGUAAGUAACUAUGCACAUCUUGACGGUACCUAAUCAGAAAGCCACGGCUAACUACGUG